GUAGCGCCUAAUCUCGAAUCGUACACGUCGGCCGUAAACGGUAAACAAAAACACGUGGACCCACAACAACAACAAUAAAUACUAAUAUUAUACGGAGCGGGUGGGGGUGGGCGAGCAGCAGCUGUCUCGGUCCCGGAGAAGACUGCAGCGCAGAGCCGGUUGGGUGUUAUUACAUUAUUAUUAUUAUUAUUAUUAUUAUUAUUAUUGCAGUCGCACGACAUAGUACGAGCGGCGGUCGGGCGGUGCACGGACGAAGAAAACGAAAACGUCGUCGCCCGACGAUGCCUAGACCGAAGACGCAGGACGAACGUGCGUUUUUAAUCGUAUUAAAAAAUUAAAUAACAUAACGCGUUACCGUGCACGCGCACACACCGCGCGCAUGUACACCGCCAAGAUAAGCCGGCCUAACGUUCCUUAUUUUAUUCCGUUGCCGACCGUUACGCCGCCGCCGCCGUCACAAUAAUAUCGGUUAAACCGUCGACCGCGAUAACGAGCGCAACGCCGCGUGUAAAAAGCGAUUCGAGCCGCCGCGUUCCGGACAGUAUUGCACACGGUCGUGACGAUGAGCGUACACGAGGUCGGCCGGCCGUCCGUCCGAUGACGACGACGUCCGAAUCGAAUGAUAGUAAUAAUUUAUCGUAAAACCCGUCGCCGCCGAAAACUUUACCGACCGACUGACCGACCGACAGCCAGUAGCCAGCAGCCAUGGUCCUGUGUUUUGGUUGCUGUUCUCGUGGAGACUAUUCGCCAAUAGAUGAUGGAUUGCCAUCUCAUCACAUUAACAAUUUAGAUGUAGAAUACAUUGACAUAAAAUGUGGAUAUUCAUAUAACCUAGUAAAAAAAAUAAUAUUUAAUAUAAUUUCAAUAUGCAUGCUUGGUGUGCCAUACUUAGCCAUUCAUUGGUCAGUCAAAUUAAAAUUAUAUCUGCUUAUGACUCCUAGUCCAUUAUCAACUUCCGAUGUUGUUCUCGUUAAUGACGCAAAUAAUAGCGAUGCCAUGUACGAUGUGCACACUUCAAUAAUAAAAGACUCAAACGGAGAAAAGAAAACCGUAAGAUAUUUUAAACAUCAAUUACUAAAAUAUAUAUGGGAUGAGAAUGAAAAUGUAUUCAAAUUUCUACAAGGUCUUGAUAAUGGAACAACUACACUAUCAAAUUUGUUAGAAAAGUGUCACGGACUCACAUCUGAUGAAUAUACAAACCAAUUAGAGCUUUUUGGCAAGAACGAAGUCAUUGUAGAAGUACAUUCUUACUGGAAAUUGUUUUUUGCUGAAGUGUUGAAUCCAUUUUACGUGUUCCAAAUAUUUAGCAUAUGCCUAUGGUUUUUUGAUGACUAUGAAUAUUAUGGUUUAUGUGUAUUGGUCAGUUCAGCUUUUUCUAUUGGCACUUCGUUAUAUCAACUGAAAGAGCAAAGUCGAUCGCUUAAAGAAACUGUAGAUACUUAUAAUAAUGACAUUUACACUGUCCUGAGAAGAGAUGAGGAAAAUGUAAAAGUAAAAGCUCAAUAUUUAGUACCCGGAGAUGUAAUUAUAAUACCACCAGGAGGUUGCAAUAUAGCUUGUGAUGCUUUAUUGUUAUCUGGUAAUUGUAUUGUGGAUGAAAGUCUUUUAACAGGAGAAAGUGAGCCAAUAACAAAAAGCCCUCCUUCGUCAAUUGAAGAAUUUUGCUACAGCAGUUCUUCUCAUAAACAUCACACAUUGUACUGUGGUACCAGAAUUUUACAAUCAAGAUUUUACGCUGGGGCCCAAGUGUUAGCUCUGGUGGUUAGGACUGGAAGUUCUACAGCUAAAGGGAAUUUGAUACGUUCAAUUAUGUUUCCAAAGGAUAUGGAUUUCGAGUUUUAUCAAGAUUCCAUAAAAUUUGUUGUAAUCAUGUUUUUCGUUGCUACUAUUGGAAUGCUUUACUGUGCCUACUUGUAUGUUAUAAGAGAAGCUUCUACAGAAUACAUUAUCAUAAGAAGUCUGGACAUUUAUACUGUGGUCGUCCCCCCUGCAUUGCCAGCUGCAAUGACAAUUGGUAUUGUGCAUUCUAUGAAACGCCUAAAACGCCUUAAAAUAUAUUGCACGUGUCAGACCCGUAUUAAUGUCGCUGGUAAAAUAAAACUCGUUUGUUUUGAUAAGACUGGCACAUUGACUGAAGACGGAUUGCACUUUUUUGGCCUAUUGCCUCAUGAUGGUCUACAAUUGAUUACAAAUAUUUAUGAUAAUUUAGUGAAAGAUUUAUCUCAAAUAGAUGUCAGAUCACCAAUUAUUGCUACAAUGGCAUCUUGUCACUCAUUAACUCACAUCAACGGAUCACUGGCAGGAGAUCCGUUAGAUCUGAGCAUGUUUAAUGCAACUGAUUGGGAAUUAGAAGAGCCUGGCGCAGAUAGUUCAAGAUUUGAUAGUUUAUUACCUUCAAUAGUACGACCAUCUAAAAAAUUAUAUCCGGAUGAAUCACCAAUUGAAAUUGGUAUCGUACAUCAAUUUCCCUUUAAUUCAAAAACGCAAAGUAUGUGUGUUAUUGGUCAAGUAUUUGGUACUCGGCGUUACACAGCAUACUGUAAAGGCGCUCCAGAAAAGAUUAUCCAAAACUGUUUGAAAGGAACAAUUCCCACAAAUAUUUUUUCUGUUUUGGAAGAAUUUGGUUCAUCUGGGUACCGAGUAUUAGCAUUAGCAUACAAAGAUUUACCAAAAAAAGUGAACUGGAAAUCGUUAUACCAUCUUAAAUUAGAAAAUGUUCAAUGUGAUUUAAAUUUUCUUGGAUUUCUCGUCAUGCAAAAUAAACUUAAACCACAAUCUUCUAAUAUAGUUCAACAACUGAGAACAGCAAACAUAAAAUGUGUUAUGGUCACAGGUGAUAAUUUAUAUACUGGAUUAAGUGUAGCAAGAGAGUGUUCUAUGAUUCCAUCUAAUAUAAAUAUUGCAGUACUAACAGCAACGCCUAGUACUGAACUAACUAAAGCAGAAAUCAAACUUGAACCUACAUUAGGCCAUAACUUGGAUUUACAAGACGAAAAGGUAUGCUAUGCAAUCGACGGGAGGUCGUGGUCUGUUUUGGAGUCAGAUUUUCCAAGUUGGUUACCUUAUGUUGUCUCUAAAGGUCUUGUGUUUGGAAGAAUGUUACCAGAGCAAAAAGUGAAGCUUGUGGAGUAUUUUCAAAGUAUGGGCUAUGUAACAGCCAUGUGUGGGGAUGGAGCAAACGAUGCUGGGGCAUUAAAAGUUGCUCAUGUUGGUAUAUCACUUUCACAAGCUGAAGCGUCCAUAGCAGCGCCAUUUACUUCUCAAAUAACAAACGUCUCAUGCGUAACUAAAAUAAUACGAGAAGGACGAUGUGCUCUAGUGACUAGUUUUGGAAUAUUUAAAUAUAUGACAUGCUACAGUUUAAUACAGUUCAUUACAUUAGUUUUACUUUACAGCAAAGGUUUAUACCUACAAAUCCUGCAUGGUCUGACAAUGAUGUGAUUUCAUGUUGGGAAAAUACUACAUUGUUUUUAACCAGUUCAUACCAAUACAUUAUUUUAGCAUUUGUAUUAAACAAGGGAUACCCUCAUCGAAAACCAUUUUACAAAAAUCUUUCAUUCACAAUUGUCAUUGUAAUAUUGACUUUAUUUACGCUGAUGUUGCAAACAACUAGAUACUCUACGUUUACAGACAUAUUCGACAUGGUGAAUCUGAAAAAUUCACACAAUGAAAAAGAACAGCGCCUUUUUCUUAUUACUCUACUUGCUUUUCCUAUUUUAAAUCUUUACUUGGCUAUCAAUAUCGAGGCAUUUGCUGAGUCAACUUUGAUGAAAAAAAUAUUAAGCACUAUCAGACAGAAAAGACAGCCUAAAAAUCCAUAUAAUCAGCUGAUUGCUAGUCAGCCUAACAUAUUAAUAUAAAAUGUAAAAUAAUAUUUGCAGUGAAUGCAUUCAUUUUGAAAUGUUAUUCUGUUUAUUUAUAGGUAAUCUCAUGUUAAAUUGUCACCUAUGUCCUACCUACAUCCUACUGAUUUAUUUUAAAUGUAUUUUUAUAUGAAUUGUUUUAUUAUUAAAUAUUGGAUAGGUAUUGGAUUAAAAAUAUUUUGAUAGUUAAACAAUACGGUUUUGUAUUAUUAAUUAAUAAUUAUUUGUAUAGGUACAAUAAAAACAUUUGUACAGAACA
rnacentral:misc_RNA from 1 species